rnacentral:rRNA from 1 species
UACGUAGGUGGCAAGCGUUGUCCGGAAUUAUUGGGCGUAAAGGGCGCGUAGGCGGUCCCUUAAGUCAGAUGUGAAAUCCCGAGGCUUAACCUCGGGCGUGCAUUUGAAACUGGGGGACUAGAGUGCAGGAGAGGUAAGUGGAAUUCCUAGUGUAGCGGUGAAAUGCGUAGAUAUUAGGAGGAACACCAGUGGCGAAGGCGACUUACUGGACUGUAACUGACGCUGAGGCGCGAAAGCGUGGGGAGCAAAC